GGGGCUGAUCGGUUUCGACUUGGGACGUUAGUCCCAGGGGAAGCGGGUCGAGAAGGCAGCGUCAUCUCGUAAACGAUCGCUGCAAAACCAUAGUUGCCAACACCAAUCGCAACGACUUCGCUCUCGCUGCCUGAGCAGUGAUCGAAGGGUCUGACCGGGCACCCGUCCUCGUCCCGGACCCAGGCCUCAUCUAGAGGACUUGCUGGCCACUCUCUGUCAGGAGGGGUGGCCGGGACUUCAUCCUGACUGGGCCUGUCGGCGACGUGUCUGUGCGAGCGCCGGGGCCGAGAAAAGCGACAACACAGACUGCACCCGGAGAAGACCUGGUUCGACGCUCGAGGACGCGGGUUCGAUUCCCGCCAGCUCCACAC
rfam:Nocardioides sp. Soil805 contig_1, whole genome shotgun sequence.